GUUAGAAUUGCUCCCCAUGUCAUGAUGACCUGGAUAUUUCUGAACCAGAUCCAAAAGCUGGAGAAAUCUGUGGGAUUGUAGUCUUCAACAGAGGAGAUUUUCAGUUGACUAAAGCUAUUAAAUAAUGAUACAUUGCCUGUGUUGUAGUUUAUGGUGGUUGUUCACACCCUCUCACAUCCGACCAAUUUGUUUUGAAAUUUUUA
rnacentral:misc_RNA from 1 species